rnacentral:lncRNA from 1 species
GAACAUAUGCCAGGGGCUGCCAUUCUAAAGGGCUGAGCCUUUGUGAGAAGGCAGUGAGGAUUUGGAUUUGGGAUGAUACUGACUGAGCCACAGGAGCCCAAACAUCUGCCAGAGCCAGCAACAGGAAAACUCAACAGCUGAAAUUUGUUGUUAUUCUUCCCAUCUUCCACUGUUUCUCUAACCAGAGAGUACUGUGGCCAGUGUAUAUCCACAAAUAAGGAUUGAGAAUAGAUGAGAAACCUGGAAAGCUUCAUUACAUUUCCAGGACACCAGAGUAAGAAUCGCCAUGCCAGGGCCUCUUCUAAGUAAUUGGGAUAUGUCAUUGAACAGCGACAUCUGUUAUGUCAACUUCCUUAAACUAUAUUCCUAUAUUAGAAAUAGAUGACACCAUUUUCCAGUCUGAAAUUACAAGUCAG